AAAACUCUGCUUUCCGGAGUCAUUUCUGUAGCUCGUUACUAGACAAGUUUCUUUGAGCCUGCAGAGCCCCAGAAACUGAGAGGAGGAGGAGGAGCCACGUUCUUUUCUGAGGGUGAAACCUGCUCUUGGUGUUGCGUCUGCAGCUGCCAUUUGCCCUUGACAACCAUUCUUCUCUUCCUCUGGGAGAGGGAGAAGGAGAGGAUGCGGCCUGAGU
rnacentral:snoRNA from 1 species